rnacentral:rRNA from 1 species
GAAUUUUAUAAAUUAUAGAAUAAAAAUAUAUUAAAUAAUUUAUUUAAUUGGGAGGAUUGAUAAAUAUAUUAAACUUUAAUAAGUAAAAAACAUUGAUUUAUGAGAUAAUGAUAAGAGUAUGAGUAUAUAAAAUAGAAUUAAUUACCUUAGGGAUAACAGCAUAAAAUUAUUUUUUAGAUCAUAUAAGAAAUAAUUAUUGU